rnacentral:rRNA from 1 species
UUCCGGUUGAUCCUGCCGGACCUGACUGCUAUCGGAUUGAUACUAAGCCAUGCGAGUCAUUGUAGUAAUACAAGGCAGACGGCUCAGUAACGCGUAGUCAACCUACCCUAUGGACGAGGAUAAUCUCGGGAAACUGAGAAUAAUACUCGAUAGACCAUUAUGCCUGGAACGGUUUAUGGUUAAAAUGAUUCGUCGCCAUAGGAUGGGACUGCGGCCUAUCAGCUUGUUGGUGAGGUAAUGGCCCACCAAGGCGAUUACAGGUACGGGCUCUGAGAGGAGAAGCCCGGAGAUGGGUACUGAGACAAGGACCCAGGCCCUAUGGGGCGCAGCAGGCGAGAAAACUUUGCAAUGUGCGAAAGCACGACAAGGUUAGUCCGAGUGAUUUCUGCUAAAGAAAUCUUUUGCAAGUCAUAAAACCACUAGUGAAUAAGGGGUGGGCAAGUUCUGGUGUCAGCCGCCGCGGUAAAACCAGCACCUCAAGUGGUCAGGAUGAUUAUUGGGCCUAAAGCAUCCGUAGCCGGCUCUGUUAGUUUUCGGUUAAAUCUAUGUGCUCAACGCAUGGGCUGCCGAAAAUACUGCAGGGCUAGGGAGAGGGAGAGGUAGACGGUACUCGGUAGGAAGGGGUAAAAUCCUUUGAUCUAUCGAUGACCACCUGUGGCGAAGGCGGUCUACCAGAACACGUUCGACGGUGAGGGAUGAAAGCUGGGGGAGCAAACCGGAUUAGAUACCCGGGUAGUCCCAGCUGUAAACGAUGCAGACUCGAUGAUGCAUUGGCUUAUUGCCAAUGCAGUGUCGCAGGGAAGCCGUUAAGUCUGCCGCCUGGGAAGUACGUACGCAAGUAUGAAACUUAAAGGAAUUGGCGGGGGAGCACCACAAGGGGUGAAGCCUGCGGUU